CAAGCAUGCAUUGAUGCUGUGUUGAGGUGAGGAGAAGCCACGAAGCCUUAUGCACCGCCUCACCCACUUCCUUUUUUUCUAUCUCUUGUUAAUAGUGCUUCUCAUUUUUUGAACCAAAACACGCACAACGAAGGAGAAGAACAGAGAAGGGAAGCAAAACGAAACUGAAGAGGAAGGAAGAAGCCAUCCGCAGCAAGAAGGAAGGCCACCCACCUCUCAUCACUCUGAAUCUUCGAAGCUUCUUUGUUGGUAGUGAUCGUAGGCAAGAACUCUUCCCUUGCUUGAGGUGAGGUCAGCCAUUCAUUCUUGAAAGAGAGGCCAAAGCUCCAAUUCCAUACGGUUAGGGUUUUGAUUCCGGAAAGAAGUAAAAAUAGAAUUUUCAACUUCAAAAGAGCAUUCACUUUUCUACUGAUAACAUGAGAAGACGACGUUCUCACCUCCUACAGAUGUUUCUUUCAGCAACAGGUUCAAGAAUUCUUGGCACGGAACCGUGACUAAACAUCGGAGUUAUAUGUAAAUAUGUAUCCGUAUUUUCUGUAGUUGGUUUAGCCUUAGACUUUCC